AUUAGUCAGAAGAGUCAUUUCAAGAUUUGUUUGAGGAACAAGUAUACCGUUGUUCCAUUGACCUUAUUGUAAUUGGACCAAUUACUGAUCAGUCAAAAGUAAUAACAGCUAACUUGCUGCUUGAAAAGCUUUAUGCACCAGACAGAUGCUUCAAGAAAGAUGCUAUUCUAAUGGCUAUACGACCUUUGAAGAUUGGAGCUGAAUCAAGAACAAACCACUUCAUUCAAUAUCAACCAUCAAAAGGUAUUUUUAAGGAGCUUAAAGACGAGGUCAAUUCAAUAUUGGCAGAUAAUUGUAUCGUUUAUUCAGUUAAUCCAAAUGGUAAAGUUGAAGAAUGUGAUUUGUCUCAAGCUGUUGCAGUUCCAUUACCGAAAUUGAAUCAAUCUAGAGGUGUGCCACAAGAUGAAAACCCGUAUGGAAUACAAGUUUAUUGUAAUGAUGUUCCUUGUAUAUAUGAAUUUCGGCUAUUCCAAUACAUUGGAUGCCAUAGGAAUGAAUAAUACUUUUGUAAUUUAGUAUUGAUUUUUGAUAUUGAUUUGUUCAAGAUAGCUUAUUAUGACUGAA